rnacentral:rRNA from 1 species
GACGAACCGUACGAGCGUUAUUCGGAAUCACUGGGCUUAAAGGGUGCGUAGGCGGCGCAGUAAGUUGGGUGUGAAAUCCCUCGGCUUAACCGAGGAAUUGCGCCCAAAACUACUGUGCUCGAGGGAGGUAGAGGUGAGCGGAACUUAGGGUGGAGCGGUGAAAUGCGUUGAUAUCCUAAGGAACACCGGUGGCGAAAGCGGCUCACUGGACCUCUUCUGACGCUGAGGCACGAAAGCUAGGGUAGCAAACGGG